GACGAACGCUGGCGGCGUGCCUAAUACAUGCAAGUCGAACGAGAGCGACCGGUGCUUGCACUGGUCAAUCUAGUAGCGAACGGGUGAGUAACACGUGGGUAACCUGCCCAUCAGAGGGGGAUAACAUCCGGAAACGGAUGCUAAAACCGCAUAGGUCUUCGAGCCGCAUGGCUUGAAGAGGAAAAGAGGCGCAAGCUUCUGCUGAUGGAUGGACCCGCGGUGCAUUAGCUAGUUGGUGAGGUAACGGCUCACCAAGGCCGUGAUGCAUAGCCGACCUGAGAGGGUGAUCGGCCACAUUGGGACUGAGACACGGCCCAAACUCCUACGGGAGGCAGCAGUAGGGAAUCUUCCGCAAUGGACGCAAGUCUGACGGAGCAACGCCGCGUGAGUGAAGAAGGUGUUCGGAUCGUAAAACUCUGUUGUUAGAGAAGAACAAGUGCUAGAGUAACUGUUAGCGCCUUGACGGUAUCUAACCAGAAAGCCACGGCUAACUACGUG
rnacentral:rRNA from 1 species